rnacentral:lncRNA from 1 species
GUUUCAGAAGGGACACACUCAAACCAUAGCAUGUGGUUAAAGUCAUCCUCUCCAGGAGCUCCAAAAGGGCUGAGCUGGGUUCCUGCUUUGCUCACCAUUUUCUCCUGGCCUCUGGCCUCAGCUGGCACAUAGUGGGUGUACAACAAGCAUUUCUCAAAUUGAAUCAACCAACGCAGGAGCUUCAGCUAAGGAUGCUAAUAUGGAAAACAAGGAGAGGUAAGCGGUUUGAUUUUCCCCCCUUUCUCUCUUCAGGAAAUUGCUUUCUUAUGCAAGAGAAAUGCAAGUUCACCCACAGUGGAUCAGUCAUAUGAUAAGAAAUCUGUUUGCAAGACAGGGAAGCUCAUUUCCCUGUUGAGAAGCUGCAUUUGUUUGAGGGAGACAAGGAGAGAGAAAGCAUUUUUGCUGGGCACAGGGAAGGGAUUAAGGCAUCAUGACAAGCACAUUGCUUAGAAAUGAGCCCAAUUAAAAAAACAUGAACC